rnacentral:misc_RNA from 1 species
GGGCUUUAGAAAGAUGAGCAUUACAAAGCUUCCAUCGAAAAAAAUAAGGAAGUGAAAUGAGAGAGAGGCAAAUAGAGACCCACCAAUCCGUUCUUGAAAAUUCAGUGGACAGCAUCAUUUCAAAAUAAUUGAAAGUGUUAAAGGAUAUAACUUAAUGACUUUAUAUUUAAUGACCUUAAUCACUUUCGAGUGGAUGCAUCAAAAAUUUGCUCAUAUCUAAUUCUGUGACAGUUGGCUUCAAUAAUUACUAUUCUUUAACUAACAAAUCCAUACUAGAUUUAUUGCAACUCAAAUAUGCAAUAACAUGUGUCUAGCUAUCCCAUUGACUAGAGCAAAAUAAAAUA